rnacentral:rRNA from 1 species
AUGGCGGAUGAAUCGUGGAGAAACUCCCCUCCGUCUGCCAAGAGAAUGGCGGAGGCAUCGUGGAGCAACUCCCCUCCGUCUGCCAAGCAUCACCAAGGUGAGGCGUCUGGCAAGGAGCCGCUGGUGGUCGACGACGACGUUCCAGUCCCCGGGCAGAAGCAGGACUACACCGUGCCGCUCAUGGUUGAUAUCCACCUGAAGAAGGAGAAGCUGGAUGUCGUAUGCACCAGCAAUCCAGACGAAGCCGACAAGAGGAUCCGCGAGAUCAGGAGGAGGCUCGGCGGCAUGCUUUCUCGGUCGAUUGGCGUUGAUGUCGAGUAUACGAGGGAAGACGAACCUCCGCAAAUGGCUGCAGUUCUACAGUUAUGCGUGGAGGAUCUCGUCCUGGUAUACCACAUCACUGCGGUAACCAAAUGGCCCAAGGAACUCCGCCCGCUCCUGCAGGAGAAGAAGUUGUACACCUUUGUUGGCUUCUCCAUUGGAGGUGACUAG